rnacentral:tRNA from 1 species
GGAGGCAUAGCUCAGCUGGUUAGAGCGCAUGCUUCACAUGCAUGAGGUCACAGGUUCGAGUCCUGUUGUCUCCACCA